rnacentral:rRNA from 1 species
GAGUUUGAUCCUGGCUCAGAUUGAACGCUGGCGGAAUGCUUUACACAUGCAAGUCGAACGGCAGCGGACUUCGGUCUGGUGGCGAGUGGCGAACGGGUGAGUAAUAUAUCGGAACGUAUCCAAUAAUGGGGGAUAACUAAUCGAAAGGUUGGCUAAUGCCGCAUACGCCCUACGGGGGAAAGCUAGGGAUCUUCGGACCUGGCGUUAAUGGAGCGGCCGAUAUCUGAUUAGCUAGUUGGUGGGGUAAAGGCCCACCAAGGCGACGAUCAGUAGCUGGUCUGAGAGGACGACCAGCCACACUGGAACUGAGACACGGUCCAACUCCUACGGGAGGCAGCAGUGGGGAAUUUUGGACAAUGGGCGAAAGCCUGAUCCAGCCAUUCCGCGUGAGUGAAGAAGGCCUUCGGGUUGUAAAGCUCUUUCGCAAGGGAAGAACACUUAGUCUCUAACAUAGACUGAGGUUGACGGUACCUUGAUAAGAAGCACCGGCUAACUACGUGCCACAGCCGCGGUAAUACGUAGGGUGCGAGCGUUAAUCGAAUUACUGGCCGUAAAGCGUGCGCAGCUUGUUUUGUAAAGUCAAUGUGAAAUCCCUGAGCUCAACUUAAGAACUGGUUGAAACUUCCAAGACUAGAAUAUGUCCAAGGGGGUAGAAUUCCCGUGUACAAGGGGA